rnacentral:rRNA from 1 species
UACGUAGGUGACGAGCGUUAUCCGGAAUUAUUGGGCGUAAAGCGCCCGCAGGCGGCUUAUCAAGUCUGACGUGAAAUCGCUCAGCUUAACUGGGCGCGGUCGUUGGAAACUGAUGGGCUUGAGGCAAGGAGAGGGGCGUGGAAUUCCCGGUGUAGUGGUGGAAUGCGUAGAGAUCGGGAGGAACAUCAGUGGCGCAAGCGGCACCCUGGCCUUGGCCUGACGCUCAGGGGCGAAAAGCGUGGGGAGCGAACGGG